CCUUGACAUACUAAGAACUUUCCAGAGAUGGAUUGGUGCCUUCGGGAACUUAGAUACAGGUGCUGCAUGGCUGUCGUCAGCUCGUGUCGUGAGAUGUUGGGUUAAGUCCCGNAACGAGCGCAACCCUUUUCCUAUUUGCCAGCGGGCCAUGCCGGGAACUUUAAGGAUACUGCCAGUGACAAACUGGAGGAAGGCGGGGACGACGUCAAGUCAUCAUGGCCCUUACGGCCAGGGCUACACACGUGCUACAAUGGUCGGUACAAAGGGUUGCUACCUCGCGAGAGGAUGCUAAUCUCAAAAAGCCGAUCGUAGUCCGGAUCGCAGUCUGCAACUCGACUGCGUGAAGUCGGAAUCGCUAGUAAUCGCGGAUCAGAAUGCCGCGGUGAAUACGUUCCCGGGCCUUGUACACACCGCCCGUCACACCAUGGGAGUUUGUUGCACCAGAAGUAGGUAGUCUAACCGCAAGGAGGACGCUUACCACGGUGUGGCCGAUGACUGGGGUGAAGUCGUAACAAGGUAGGCGUAGAUGA
rnacentral:rRNA from 1 species